rnacentral:rRNA from 1 species
AACGAACGCUGGCGGCAGGCUUAACACAUGCAAGUCGAACGCAUCGCAAGAUGAGUGGCAGACGGGUGAGUAACGCGUGGGAACAUACCCUUUUCUACGGAAUAGCUCUGGGAAACUGGAAUUAAUACCGUAUACGCCCUACGGGGGAAAGAUUUAUCGGGGAAGGAUUGGCCCGCGUUGGAUUAGCUAGUUGGUGGGGUAAAGGCCUACCAAGGCGACGAUCCAUAGCUGGUCUGAGAGGAUGAUCAGCCACAUAGGGACUGAGACACGGCCCAAACUCCUACGGGAGGCAGCAGUGGGGAAUAUUGGACAAUGGGCGCAAGCCUGAUCCAGCCAUGCCGCGUGAGUGAUGAAGGCCUUAGGGUUGUAAAGCUCUUUCACCGAUGAAGAUAAUGACGGUAGUCGGAGAAGAAGCCCCGGCUAACUUCGUGCCAGCAGCCGCCGUUAACAC